rnacentral:rRNA from 1 species
CCUACGGGUGGCAGCAGUGAGGAAUGGUGGGCAAUGGACGAGAGUCGGAACCAGCGAAGGAGCGUGAAGGAUGACGGCCCGAGGGGUGGUAAACUUCGUUUAUAUGGGAAUAAAACGUUCCACGUGUGGGAUUUUGUAUGUACCAUAUGAAUAAGGAUCGGCUAACUCCGUGCCAGCAGCCGCGGUAAUACGGAGGAACCGAGCGUUAUCCGGAUUUAUUGGGUUUAAAGGGAGCGUAGGGGGAUUGUUAUGUCAGUUGUGAAAGUUUGCGGCUCAACCGUAAAAUUGCAGUGGAAACUGGCAGUCUUGAGUACAGUAGAGGUGGGCGGAAUUCGUGGUGUAGCGGUGAAAUGCUUAGAUAUCACGAAGAACUCCGAUUGCGAAGGCAGUUCACUGGACUGCAACUGACACUGAGGCUCGAAAGUGUGGGUAUCAAACAGGAUUAGAUACCCUUGUAGUC